AUUUAAAUUUUUAUUAUUUUUAAAAUUUUGAAUUGAUUUAAAUAAAAAAUUUUUAUUUUUAUUAAAAUGAUUAGAAAAAAUAUUUUUAAUUAUAGUUAAUUAGUAUUGUGAAAGAAAGUUUUUAAAUUAAUUAAAGAAAAAUUAAAAUUUUGUACCUUGUGUAUCAGGGUUAAUUAAAUUAAUUUAUUUAUUUAAUAAUCUCGAAUUUAAAAGAGUUAAUUAUUUAUAUAUUUUAUUGUAAAAUAAAUAUUUAUAAUAAAUAAUUGGUAAUGAAACGUUAAUCGUUUUUAAAUAUAUCUAGUUUUUAAAGAAAUAAAUUUAAUUUAGUUUUUAAGUAGGAAUAUUUUAAUUUUAAAAUAAAAUUUUAGUUAAAAAUAAAGUUUUUUAGGGAUAAGCUUAAAAAAUAAUUUUUAUAAUUGAUUAAAAUAAAAAUAAUUUAUAAGGAUAAAAGUUUCUAUAAAUAAAAUAAUGUUAUAAUUAAUUAUUUUAAAUAUAUUAUUUUUAAUUAGUUUAAGUUAAUUAUUUAGAUAAAUUAUUAAAUAAAAAUUUAGUUUUAAUAAUGAUUAAAUUAGUAAAAAUUUAUUGUAUAAUAUUUUUAUUUUAUAAGGUAGGUUUAAGGAAUUCGGCAAAUUAAUUUUUCACCUGUUUAUUAAAAACAUGUCUUUUUGUUGAUAAUUUAAAGUCUAAUCUGCCCACUGAGGUAUUGAAUGGCCGCGGUAUUUUGACCGUGCAAAGGUAGCAUAAUAAUUAGUUUUUUAAUUGGAAGCUGGAAUGAAUGAUUGAAUGAAAAAAUAUCUGUCUCAGAUUUAUUUAUUUUGAAUUUUAUAUUUAAGUAAAAAAGCUUAAAUAUUAUUAAAAGACGAGAAGACCCUAUAGAGUUUAAUAAAUAUAGAUUUUAAAAUAUUUAGUUUAAAUAAUUUAGAAUUUUAAAUUUAUUUAGUUGGGGUGAUUGAAAAAUUUAAUUAACUUUUUUUAUUUUAAAACAUUAAUUUAUGAUUGAUUGAUCCAAUAUUUUUGAUUAAAAGAAUAAAUUACCUUAGGGAUAACAGCGUAAUUUUUUUUAAGAGUUCAAAUCGAAAAAAAGGAUUGCGACCUCGAUGUUGGAUUAAAGUUAAGUUUUGGUGUAGAAGCUAGAAUUUUAGGUCUGUUCGACCUUUAAAACUUUACAUGAUCUGAGUUUAAACCGGUGUGAGCCAGGUUGGUUUCUAUCUUUAGUUAAAUAAAAUAUUUUAGUACGAAAGGACCAAAUAUUUAUUAAAAUUAAUUUAAUUAGAAUAAAAUU
rnacentral:rRNA from 1 species